AUUGAACGCUGGCGGCAGGCCUAACACACGCAAGUCGAACGGUAACAGGAAGAAGCUUGCUUCUUUGCUGACGAGUGGCGGACGGGUGAGUAAUGUCUGGGAAACUGCCUGAUGGAGGGGGAUAACUACUGGAAACGGUAGCUAAUACCGCAUAAUGUCGCAAGACCAAAGAGGGGGACCUUCGGGCCUCUUGCCAUCGGAUGUGCCCAGAUGGGAUUAGCUAGUAGGUGGGGUAACGGCUCACCUAGGCGACGAUCCCUAGCUGGUCUGAGAGGAUGACCAGCCACACUGGAACUGAGACACGGUCCAGACUCCUACGGGAGGCAGCAGUGGGGAAUAUUGCACAAUGGGCGCAAGCCUGAUGCAGCUAUGCCGCGUGUAUGAAGAAGGCCUUCGGGUUGUAAAGUACUUUCAGCGGGGAGGAAGGGAGUAAAGUUAAUACCUUUGCUCAUUGACGUUACCCGCAGAAGAAGCACCGGCUAACUCCGUG
rnacentral:rRNA from 1 species